rnacentral:rRNA from 1 species
AACGAACGCUGGCGGCAGGCCUAAAACAUGCAAGUCGAACGAACCUUCGGGUUAGUGGCGCACGGGUGCAUAACGCGUGGGAAUGUGCCUCUGAGUGCGGAACAACGUCGGGAAACUGACGCUAAUACCGCAUAAUAUCUACGGAUCAAAGAUUUAUCGCCCAGAGAUCAGCCCGCGUCUGAUUAGGUAGUUGGUAGGGUAAUGGCCUACCAAGCCUACGAUCAGUAGCUGGUCUGAGAGGAUGAUCAGCCACACUGGAACUGAGACACGGUCCAGACGCCUACGGGAGGCAGCAGUUAGUAAUAUUGGACAAUGGGGGAAACCCUGAUCCAGCCAUGCCGCGUGUGUGAAGAAGGCCUUAGGGUUGUAAAGCACUUUCGUCUAUGAAGAUAAUGACAGUAGUAGAAGAAGAAGCUCCGGCUAAAUUCGUGCCAGCAGCCGCCGUAA